UGCCAGCCGCCGCGGUAAUACGGAGGGGGCUAGCGUUGUCCGGAUUUAUUGGGUUUAAAGGGUGCGCAGGCGGUUUGUUAAGUUUGUGGUGAAAGCGUCCCGCUUAACGGGAUACCCGCCAUGGAUACUGGCAGACUUGAGUAUGUCUGAGGGAAUUAGAAUGCGUGGUGUAGCGGUGAAAUGCAUAGAUAUCACGCAGAAUACCGAUUGCGAAGGCAGAUUUCUAAGACAUAACUGACGCUGAGGCACGAAAGCGUGGGGAGCGAACAGGAUUAGAUA
rnacentral:rRNA from 1 species